AUACAUGGACGAAGGACUCCUUCUUUCCUAGUCUCCAAGCAUUGUUGAUUGUCAAUCCUACACCACCACUGCUCCUAGCCUCCUACCAACUUCCAAGAAUAUCCCACAAAACCACUCGACAAACGUGUGACAUUUGUGAAACGGAGGAAAAACGAGACAGAGAAAUGGCUGCUACAAGCUCCUGCAAUUUCAACUGGGGAGUGAAUGGAAAAGGGACCCCUGAACAGCCUUGUUCUUCCUCAAAGUCCUCCCAGAUCCUCUUCUCUUCUAACUUAUCUUUUUGUUACAGUAACAUCAGAUAUUGCCUCUCUCUUCGUUCCCAUCAAACCCUUUUGUCCACUCGUUUCAACGAAACCAAGAAUUCAGCUUUUGUUGUGGCAUCAGCAAAGGCAGACCCUUUGAAGAUAAUGAUUUCCGGAGCUCCUGCUUCUGGUAAAGGUACUCAAUGUGAGCUCAUCACUAAGAAAUAUGGUUUGGUGCACAUUGCUGCCGGAGACCUUCUGAGGGCAGAAAUUGCUUCAGGAAGUGAGAAUGGAAAGCGAGCAAAGGAAUACAUGGAGAAAGGACAGUUGGUCCCAAAUGAAAUAGUUGUCAUGAUGGUAAAGGAGCGUCUGCUGCUGCCAGACUCUCAAGAAAAUGGUUGGCUUUUAGAUGGAUACCCAAGGAGCUUACUACAAGCAACUGCUCUUAAAGAAUUUGGCUUCCAGCCCGAUCUUUUUAUUCUCCUGGAAGUCAAUGAAGAGAUUCUUGUUGAAAGAGUGGUUGGACGUAGGUUAGACCCUGUUACUGGGAAGAUAUACCACCUCAAGUAUUCUCCCCCUGAGACUGAAGAAAUUGCUGCCAGGCUCACCCAACGUUUUGAUGACACUGAAGAAAAGGUGAAGUUGCGGUUGCAAACUCAUCAUCAAAAUGUGGAGGCGGUACUUCUAAUGUAUGAAGACAUUACACUCAAGGUUAAUGGAAAUGUUCCCAAAGAAGAUGUGUUUGCACAAAUUGAUGGUGCUCUCACAAAAUUACAUGAGGAUAGGAAGUUGAUUUAAGGAUCUCUGGCUGCAUAGAUGGAGGGAAGAGCUGGUGUAUAACCAAUAGUCAGGACUCAGGAAUUAUGAAAACUGCUUUUCUAGAUGAUCCUGUUAUAGCAAAGAUUUGAUCCUUGAAAGCAAUGGAAAUCUCUGUAGUAUCAUCUUGAAGACUUUUUCAGUCUUUGUAGUUGAGAAACAUUCAAAGGUAUCAGGCUUCAAUUACCUGCUAGACUUUUUCAUUAUAAUUAAGCUAGAAAUAGUCUUCUCUUCCAACAAAUCCAAUACAAACUUUGAAUUGACCAAAUAAUUGGUGCACAUGUUUCUUUCCCGUCUGUAUGAACAACUUCUUGUGGACGAAGCUCAUGGAAGAAUCUUAAUACCACUCCUAAAAGACGAUACCGAGCACUUCCUACUCAACUAGUGUCUCUUUGCUUUCUUGGGAUUUAUGGAACUCGA